CCUACGGGGGGCAGCAGUGAGGAAUAUUGGUCAAUGGGCGCGAGCCUGAGCCAGCCAAGUAGCGUGAAGGAUGACUGCCCUACGGGUUGUAAACUUCUGUUAUAAAGGAAUAAAGUGAGGCACGUGUGCCUUUUUGUAUGUACUUUAUGAAUAAGGAUCGGCUAACUCCGUGCCAGCAGCCGCGGUAAUACGGAGGAUCCGAGCGUUAUCCGGAUUUAUUGGGGUUACAGGGAGCGUAGAGGGGUUGUUAAGUCAGUUGUGAAAGUUUGCGGCUCAACCGGAAAAUUGCAAUUGAUACUGGCAGUCUUGAGUACAGUUGCGGUAGGCGGCAUUCGUGGUGUAGCGGU
rnacentral:rRNA from 1 species